AGUGAACGCUGGCGGUAUGCCUAACACAUGCAAGUCGAACGGCAGCACAGUAAGAGCUUGCUCUUACGUGUGUCGAGUGUCGGACGGGUGAGGAAGACAUCGGAAUCUACUUUUUCGUGGGGGAUAACGUAGGGAAACGUACGCGAAUACCGCAUACGACCUACUGGUGAAAGCAGGGGAUCUUCGGACCUUGCGCUAUUGAAUGAGCCUAUGUCGGAUUAGCUAGUUGGCGGGGUAAAGGCCCACCAAGGCGACGAUCCGUAUCUGGUAUGAGAGGAUGAUCAGCCACACUGGCACUGAGACACGUUCCAGACUCCUACGGGAGGAAGCAGUGGGGAAUAUUGGACAAUGGGCGCAAGCCUGAUAUAGCAAUACCGCGUGGGUGAAGAAGGACUUCGGGUUGUAAAGCCAUUUUGUUGGGAAAGAAAAGCAGCAGGUUAAUACCCCGCUGUUCUGACGGUACCCAAAGAAUAAGCACCGGCUAACUUCGUG
rnacentral:rRNA from 1 species